UACGUAGGGGGCAAGCGUUGUCCGGAAUCAUUGGGCGUAAAGCGCGUGUAGGCGGUCCGGUAAGUCCGCUGUGAAAGUCGGGGGCUCAACCCUCGGAUGCCGGUGGAUACUGUCGGGCUUGAGUACGGAAGAGGCGAGUGGAAUUCCUGGUGUAGCGGUGAAAUGCGCAGAUAUCAGGAGGAACACCAAUUGCGAAAGCAGCUCGCUGGGACGUUACUGACGCUGAGACGCGAAAGCGUGGGGAGCAAACAGG
rnacentral:rRNA from 1 species